rnacentral:rRNA from 1 species
UACGUAGGGGGCGAGCGUUGUCCGGAAUGAUUGGGCGUAAAGGGCGCGUAGGCGGUUUUGUAAGUCUGAAGUGAAAGUCCUGCUUUUAAGGUGGGAAUUGCUUUGGAUACUGCAGGACUUGAGUGCAGGAGAGGUAAGUGGAAUUCCCAGUGUAGCGGUGAAAUGCGUAGAGAUUGGGAGGAACACCAGUGGCGAAGGCGACUUACUGGACUGUAACUGACGCUGAGGCGCGAAAGUGUGGGGAG